AUUGAACGCUGGCGGCGUGCUUAACACAUGCAAGUCGAUCGGUAACAGGUGUAGCAAUACAUGCUGACGAGAGGCGGACGGGUGAGUAAUGCUUGGGAAUCUGCCUAUUAGGUGGGGGACAACCCGGGGAAACUCGGGCUAAUACCGCAUACGCUCUACGGAGGAAAGCCGGGGACCGCAAGGCCUGGCGCUAAUAGAUGAGCCCAAGUCGGAUUAGCUAGUGGUAGGAACGCCUACCAGGCGACAAUCCGUAGCUGGUCUGAGAGGGCGACCAGCCACACCGGAACUGAGACACGGUCCGGACUCCUACGGGAGGCAGCAGUGGGGAAUAUUGGACAAUGGGCGAAAGCCUGAUCCAGCGACGCCGCGUGGGUGAAGAAGGCCUG
rnacentral:rRNA from 1 species